AUAAAACCAAUUUGUAAGUCGCUCUGGAUAAGAGCGUCUGCUAAAUGACGUAAA
rfam:Salmo salar isolate Sally breed double haploid chromosome ssa10, whole genome shotgun sequence.